UACGUAGGUGGCGAGCGUUGUCCGGAUUUACUGGGCGUAAAGAGCGCGCAGGCGGUCGUAUAAGUCGCGUGUGAAAGCCCCCGGCUCAACUGGGGAGGGUCACGCGAUACUGUUCGACUCGAAGGCAGGAGAGGGAAGUGGAAUUCCCGGUGUAGUGGUGAGAUGCGUAGAUAUCGGGAGGAACACCAGUGGCGAAGGCGACUACCUGGCCUGUUCUUGACGCUGAGGCGCGAAAGCUAGGGGAGCAAACGGG
rnacentral:rRNA from 1 species